AUGAAGAGAACUGUUCAUACUUUAUUCAUUUUCCUCUGGCUGCAGAUGAACUGGGAGAGCAGAGCUGAGCAGGUGGAGCAGCAUCCUUCCACCCUGAGUGUCCAGAAGGGAGACAGUGCUGUCAUCAACUGUACUUACACAGACAGUGCCUCAGCCUACUUCCCUUGGUAUAAACAAGAGCCUGGGAAUCAUCCUCAGUUCAUCAUUGACAUCCGUUCAAAUGCAGAAAGAAAGCAGAACCAAAGACUCACCCUUCUGUUGGAUAAGAAAGCCAAACACCUUACCCUGUACGUCACAGCCACUCAGCCUGCAGAUUCAGCCAUCUACUUUUGUGCAACAGAUACACACUGCUCCCCAGGCACCUGCAGCCUGUCUUCAAACCUGACACCAGGGCUGGAGUGACACCCUUUUUGCUACAUCAGACAUUCUAGGACAACAUUUGUCACAUUGUUUCAGAGUAGAAACUAACAUAUAGAUAUUAAAAAUACAUACGAUAAGGCCAAAAUGACCAAGGAAGUUUAUAUUACAUUGUUGAUUGAUGCUUAAUUUUUUUAAAUUCACAUUUAUUGUGUAUGUUAAGGGUGUAUUGUUCACUGUGAUAUCUUGGUUUAAAUAAUCAGUGGAAAAGGAACUGUUUGAUGAGUAGGUUCAGAGAGCAACAUCUGAAGUAAAGGGUAAGCUUUCAUCUCCCUUCUGUGUGAGCUGAUUCUUCCAUGUCCAUGUGUAUGGCAAUCCAAAAGCUCUGUGUAACAGAU